rnacentral:tRNA from 1 species
GCGGGGGUAGCUCAGCUGGUGGAGCAUCUGCCUUCCAAGCAAAAUGUCGCGAGUUCGAAUCUCGUCCCCCGCUCCA